UUGGUGCUUGCAUCAUGAUUUACAUUUGAGUGAGUGGCGAACUGGUGAGUAACACGUGGGAAACCUGCCCAGAAGCGGGGGAUAACACCUGGAAACAGAUGCUAAUACCGCAUAACAACUUGGACCGCAUGGUCCGAGUUUGAAAGAUGGCUUCGGCUAUCACUUUUGGAUGGUCCCGCGGCGUAUUAGCUAGAUGGUGGGGUAACGGCUCACCAUGGCAAUGAUACGUAGCCGACCUGAGAGGGUAAUCGGCCACAUUGGGACUGAGACACGGCCCAAACUCCUACGGGAGGCAGCAGUAGGGAAUCUUCCACAAUGGACGAAAGUCUGAUGGAGCAACGCCGCGUGAGUGAAGAAGGGUUUCGGCUCGUAAAACUCUGUUGUUAAAGAAGAACAUAUCUGAGAGUAACUGUUCAGGUAUUGACGGUAUUUAACCAGAAAGCCACGGCUAACUACGUGCCAGCAGCCGCGGUAAUACGUAGGUGGCAAGCGUUGUCCGGAUUUAUUGGGCGUAAAGCGAGCGCAGGCGGUUUUUUAAGUCUGAUGUGAAAGCCUUCGGCUCAACCGAAGAAGUGCAUCGGAAACUGGGAAACUUGAGUGCAGAAGAGGACAGUGGAACUCCAUGUGUAGCGGUGAAAUGCGUAGAUAUAUGGAAGAACACCAGUGGCGAAGGCGGCUGUCUGGUCUGUAACUGACGCUGAGGCUCGAAAGUAUGGGUAGCAAACAGGAUUAGAUACCCUGGUAGUCCAUACCGUAAACGAUGAAUGCUAAGUGUUUGGAGGGUUUCCGCCCUUCAGUGCUGCAGCUAACGCAUUAAGCAUUCCGCCUGGGGAGUACGGCCGCAAGGCUGAAACUCAAAGGAAUUGACGGGGGCCCGCACAAGCGGUGGAGCAUGUGGUUUAAUUCGAAGCUUCCCCGAAGAACCUUACCAGGUCUUGACAUACUAUGCAAAUCUAAAAAAUUAAACGUUCCCUUCGGGGACAUGGAUACAGGUGGUGCA
rnacentral:rRNA from 2 species